rnacentral:misc_RNA from 1 species
AAGUCGUAACAAGGUUUCCGUAGGUGAGUGACAUAUUAUCCUUUCCUUUAACAAAUCUUGUGACAAUUUGCUAACAUAUAUUCCAGGUGAACCUGCGGAAGGAUCAUUACCGAGUAAGGGUCUUCCAGGCCCGACCUCCAACCCUUUGUUUAACCAACCAUGUUGCUUUGGCGGGCGGGCCCUUUGGGGGCGUUGGGACCUUUCCCGCCCCUGGCCGUGUCCGCCGGUAGCCAAUUUAAACUCUGAAAAUUGUGCCGUCUGAGAAUGAAUACAAAUCGUAAAAAACUUUCAACAACGGGU